rnacentral:rRNA from 1 species
GGCCUACGGGGGGCAGCAGUGGGGAAUAUUGGACAAUGGGGGGAACCCUGAUCCAGCGACGCCGCGUGAGUGAAGAAGUAUUUCGGUAUGUAAAGCUCUAUCAGCAGGGAAGAAAGAAAUGACGGUACCUGACUAAGACGCCCCGGCUAACUACGUGCCAGCAGCCGCGGUAAUACGUAGGGGGCAAGCGUUAUCCGGAUUUACUGGGUGUAAAGGGAGCGUAGUCGGCGAAGAAAGUCUGAAGUGAAAGCCCGCGGCUCAACCGCGGAAUGGCUUUGGAAACUUUUUUGCUGGAGUACCGGCGA